rnacentral:lncRNA from 12 species
CGGAACUCUGUCUAACACUGCUAUUGUGUUUGCUGCUUGGCAAAGCACGCUAAAAGCACACUGCAGAUAUUCAGAGUGCAUUCAGAUAAGCAGUGGGAGUGGAAGCAGUUUGCAGUGGAUUGAAGAUAAUUAAUUAAGUGGUGGGUGAAGCAGUACAAGGGGUGAGUAUAAAC